CUACGGGGCGCAGCAGGCGCGAAACCUUUACAAUGCACGAAAGUGUGAUAAGGGAAUCCCGAGUGCCAAUGUUCUACAUUGGCUUUUGCCAAGGGCAAAAACCUUGGCGAAUAAGUGGUGGGCAAGACCGGUGCCAGCAGCCGCGGUAACACCGGCGCCACGAGUGGGGAUCACUUUUAUUGGGCCUAAAGCGUCCGUAGCCUGUCUGCUAAGUCUCUUGUGAAAUCGUUGGGCUCAACUCAACGGCGUGCAGGAGAAACUGGCAGACUCGGAACCGGGAGGAGUCAGAGGUAUGCUUGGAGGAGCGGUAAAAUGCUAUAAUUCCUUGUAGACCACCUGUGGCGAAGGCGUCUGACUAGAACGGAUUCGACGGUGAGGGACGAAAGCCAGGGGAGCGGUCCGGAUUAGAUACCCCGGUAGUC
rnacentral:rRNA from 1 species